AAUCAACGCUGGCGGCGUGCCUCAGACAUGCAAGUCGAACGCGAAAGUCCCCUUCGGGGGAUGAUUAGAGUGGCGCACGGGUGAGUAACACGUAGGUAAUCUACCUUCGAGUGGGGAAUAACUCAGGGAAACUUGAGCUAAUACCGCAUAAUGCAGCGGCACCACAUGGUGACAGUUGUUAAAGCAUUUAUGCGCUUGAAGAGGAGCCUGCGGCGGAUAGCUAGUUGGUAAGGUAAUGGCUUACCAAGGCUACGAUCUGUAACGGCCUGAGAGGGCGGACGGUCACACUGACACUGAAUAACGGGUCAGACUCCUACGGGAGGCAGCAGUCGGGAAUUUUGGGCAAUGGGCG
rnacentral:rRNA from 1 species